CAAUAGCGUAUAUUAAAGUUGUUGCGGUUAAAAAGCUCGUAGUUGGAUUUCUGCUGAGAACGACCGGUCCGCCCUCUGGGUGUGUAUCUGGCUCUUUCUUGGCAUCUUCUUGGUGAACGUUGCUGCACUUGACUGUGUGGAGCGCUACCCAGGACUUUUACUUUGAGGAAAUUAGAGUGUUUCAAGCAGGCAUACGCCUUGAAUACAUUAGCAUGGAAUAAUAAGAUAGGACCUCGGUUCUAUUUUGUUGGUUUCUAGAGCUGAGGUAAUGAUUAAUAGGGAUAGUUGGGGGCAUUCGUAUUUAACUGUCAGAGGUGAAAUUCUUGGAUUUGUUAAAGACAGACUACUGCGAAAGCAUUUGCCAAGGAUGUUUUCAUUG
rnacentral:rRNA from 1 species